GACGAACGCUGGCGGCGUGCUUAACACAUGCAAGUCGAACGACGUGGCGAGCGGGUGAGUAACGCGUAAUCAACCUCCCCUUCAGAGGGGGACAAUAGGUGGAAACGACUGCUAAUACCGCAUAUCGAAGGAGGGUAUUGCGUCUGAUUAGCUAGUUGGUGGGGUAACGGCCCACCAAGGCGAAGGUUAGUAGCCGGUCUGGGGGGGUGAACGGGCCCAUUGGGAAUGGGACACGGCCCAAACUCCUACGGGAGGCAGCCGUUGGGAAACUUUCGGAAUGGAGGGAAGUCCUGCGAGGCCACGCCGGGUGGGUGAUGACGGCCUUCGGGUUGUAAAGCUCUGUUAAUCGGGGCGCGGUACCGAAAUAGAAAGCCACGGCUAACUACGUGCCAGCCGCCGCGGUAAUAC
rnacentral:rRNA from 1 species